GGUGCUGGUUAGCAAGCAAUAAUACCGAGGUUUGCUCUGUGUUAGCUCAACUCUAUCCGGUGUUGGUUGUCUUUAUGUGAAGCAACAGAGGAUUUAAUGGAUGUAUGCAAUAGAAUGCAGCAAGAACCAGAGAUUUCCUCGAGAUUAUAGUUGAUGCUGGCCCAGAUACCCAACUCUCAGAUAAUGAGAUCGCAACUCUCUUGUCGAUCUCAGGUGAUGCCGCGAUGGUGCCAUUUGCACGAACCAGAAAUUUCUGAUUCACCUUAAAUUGUUACAUUGCAUCCAGAAACUGAUCUGUAGAUUUCCUUUCUUAGAGCUUGAUCCCCCAGAUUUUGCAAAACCAGAGGGUUGCCAUCUAGUCCAUACACUCCACAAAUGGUUGUGUAAUACUCUCUUCGCCCACUUGUUUGAUGACCAUGAACGCAAUGUUGUCAUAUCUCAUAAAGAGCGUAGAGGUUCAUGAAUGCAAGUGGGUUUGCUGUUGUUGCAAGUGUUGUGCUGCUAGGAGUGAUGCAGGUUUUGUUGCAAUUGCUACAUCAUUUGUAGAUAGCUUUUGUUUAGAAGUUUUGUAGCUUUAGUACUCUAAUUGAGAACUUAUGUAUGAAUUUUGGUAUGUUAUUGUUAAUAUCAUUUGGGUUGUAAGUUUUUUCA